rnacentral:tRNA from 1 species
AAUGAAUUGCCUGAUAAAAGGGUUACCUUGAUAGGGUAAAUUAUGAAAUUUAAUAUUUCAUUCAUUA